GCUGAAUGAUUGAGCAUUUUCAGAAGUUUUUGUUAUUAAUAGAAAACCCCCUGUGUAUUCUGAACAGCUAAUCAGAAUCAAAUGUAUCUUUACCCGUUAAUGAUAUGGUUAUAAACUGUCCAGUGUAGCUGCCAGAAGCAACUCCACUAUGAGUUAAUCCACACCACUGCUCUUACAGACGGUACAAAACUUUGUUGUUCACAAAAUCACUAAUCUCUCAGAUUUCUACCUAUAAAGCAUGAAAUAUGAUACUUUUUAGUUAUGAUAUGCAAAGAGCUUUUAUUAAGCCUUUAAAAAAAAAAAAAGAAUAAAGACUCAAGGCAAUAUUUCUGUAAUUUCACCAAACAAAGGCAUGAAGCCGAUAGCCAUGAACUCUCUGACUGUUAUUAGAAAAUGUCGAUGUUAUCUUACGUAUUGCUACAUGUGGUGUGGAAGUGCAGGGGCCAAUCUUCCGCAAUCUGUGCUCUAGAUCAGUGAACUGCCUAAUAUUUAAAUACUAUGUAAACGCUCUCAGCAUCUUAGAAGCUUUUUUCAGAUGAUCUUAGCUAUGAAAUGUAUUGAAAGCAGUUCAUCUUACAGAUUUCACUGUAAAUGUGUAACAGCUGAUCACAAUUGUACAGUUAAAUAAACCGAGUGACCACUGAGAUCGCAGGUGGAUUUAAAUUGCACAUAAAAAAUCUGGCUUUUUCAAAUUGGGCAAAUUUUAAAUAUAGUGAUUCCACUAAAACAAUGUAGGUAACUGGGACAGAAUGGAGUGUGUGUGUGUGUGUGUGUUAUUAAUAAUCAUAAAUCAUAUGCUCAUACUGAAUUUUAGUACACAACAAUGGACCAUCUGUUGAACCAGUGUUGUCAGGAAUUAAAUAACACCUGUUGCUAAUAUUUCAUAAUGUAUUUUAAACAUGAUUCAAAUUAUUUUGCCUUUUGAAUGACUAACUAUUAAAUUGUAAUGAUAACAUUUUAUUGUAGGUUCUCUUUUUUCCCCCUUUAUAAUAAGGUGUACAGUGCAUUGCAGACAGAACAUGCUUUAUUAGAGAGUGUAUUUGUUUCAGGGUUUAUUCCUGGAUUUAUCCCUCCACAGGUGUACAGGAGCAGACUGCUGUUAUGUCAAUGUGGCGAUGUUCAUCUGUAGUAUGGACUUGUGAAAGUGCCUUUAAAAGCCGUUUUAGAGGAGCUUCAAGCCAAUAUCCUCUGUGCUGUCACGCUCAUCGUUCAUACCUGUGCAGUACAUAGGAAAAGACAGUGAAUGCAUUAUUGAUCAGUAGAAGUAAUUCGAAAAAUAUACUGCUUAUUCAUUGUGACAUUGCACUUUUAUGUACGUAUAAGACUGUAUAUAUGGCAUGCAACAUCCUAACAAGUUAUGGAGCAUUUUUUCUUUUCUUUUCUUUUCUUUUCUUUUCUUUUUUAAAUUUAUUUUUAUUUUAUUUGGGCAGAGGCCCUGCUCUGGAUCAUGUCUUUCUAAUAAAGAACUUAGUUUG
ensembl:lncRNA